rnacentral:rRNA from 1 species
GACGAACGCUGGCGGCGUGCUUAACACAUGCAAGUCGAACGGAAAGGCCCUGCUUUUGUGGGGUGCUCGAGUGGCGAACGGGUGAGUAACACGUGAGUAACCUGCCCUUGACUUUGGGAUAACUUCAGGAAACUGGGGCUAAUACCGGAUAGGAGCUCCUGCUGCAUGGUGGUGGUUGGAAAGUUUCGGCGGUUGGGGAUGGACUCGCGGCUUAUCAGCUUGUUGGUGGGGUAGUGGCUUACCAAGGCUUUGACGGGUAGCCGGCCUGAGAGGGUGACCGGCGACAUUGGGACUGAGAUACGGCCCAGACUCCUACGGGAGGCAGCAGGGGGGAAUAUUGCACAAUGGGCGGAAGCCUGAUGCAGAAACGCCGCGUGCGGGAUGACGGCCUUCGGGUUGUAAACCGCUUUCGCCUGUGACGAAGCGUGAGUGACGGUAAUGGGUAAAGAAGCACCGGCUAACUACGUG